ensembl:snRNA U6 U6 spliceosomal RNA
GUGCUUGCUUGGGCAGCACAUAUGCUAAAAUUAAAAUAAGAAAAUUAGCACGGCCCCUGCACAAGGAUGACAUGCAAAUUUGUAAAGUGUUCCAUAUUUGU